UUUCAAGGACGAGGAUGUUGAAAAUCUAUUAGAAUACCAUGGUUUUGGGUUGAGGCAGUAUGAAGAACUGUACUUAGUCAAAGAAGGACCUUUUCUUAACAGUGAAAGUGAUUUCCCAUCUGGCUGUUCACAGCUUGUGCAUUCUAAAAAAUCGCAGAGGGUCGUUGAUGAUGUUUCUUAUGGGCCAGAUUGUGCUCCAACUAGCAAAGAAAAGACUGUCUUUCCAUAUACUGGUCAACCAGUUGCUGGCAAAAGAGAUCUAUUUCUACCACAGAAUGCUCCUGCGAUUCCUCCUGAUGGCAGAAUGGAUUUGGAUCCAUCAUUUCCUGGGCCUAUUUCAAUCACUCCUGACAGACAGAUUAGCCCAUUGUUUUCAGAUCCUUUCUCUCCAAGAGCUGCCAGUAAACUAUUCAGUUCAACACAUCCAAAGCCUCUAUCCCCAACUGAUGGUAGAAAAGACAGGUUUUCAUCUGUCCUUACUGUUGUUUCUCCACGUACUGGCAAGAGGGACAUACUGUCAAAAACACCAAAAGUAGCUUCACCAAAAGCUGAAGGCAAGACCAAAUUGGUUAAUGGCCUUAUAGCUGAAGACCAGGAUAGUGGUGUUGCUGAGAUCCCUCAGAAGGUAGAGAUGCAAACAGACAUACUGUGGUCACAAGCUAACACGCAAAACACCAAUGCUCUGGCAGAACCAAUUGUUUCACAUCCUCUUGCAGAUAGGAUGUCUUUAAAUUACUCCAGUAUGUAUGGAGCGGAAGAUGACUUCAGGGCACAUGUUUCUGGCAUCGGUGCAGAUAUGGAUGAGGGAACUCCAUCAGAUCAUGAAUGUUUGGUUAUUGGAGCUGGAUUGCCUAUUAGCUCCCCUUUGUCCUAUCAUGAGGAAUAUGAGGAUCAUAGUAUUAGUAACGACACAAAUGAUGAUUGGUUACCAAUUGUUAUGCCCGCAAAGAAACUAAUUUCUGAUGAAAACCUGAAAGCAAUACUGAGGAAAUGGAGGCAGCAUGCUGCUGACAAGCGAUUACUUAGGGAGCAGAAGAAUGCUCUUGCUGUUGCAGCAUUGUGUUCUCUAUUCUUCAAACCCUUUUAA